rnacentral:rRNA from 1 species
GGUCUUCGGAUGCUGACGAGUGGCGAACGGGUGAGUAAUACAUCGGAACGUGCCCGAUCGUGGGGGAUAACGCAGCGAAAGCUGUGCUAAUACCGCAUACGAUCUACGGAUGAAAGCGGGGGAUCGCAAGACCUCGCGCGGACGGAGCGGCCGAUGGCAGAUUAGGUAGUUGGUGGGAUAAAAGCUUACCAAGCCGACGAUCUGUAGCUGGUCUGAGAGGACGACCAGCCACACUGGGACUGAGACACGGCCCAGACUCCUACGGGAGGCAGCAGUGGGGAAUUUUGGACAAUGGGGGAAACCCUGAUCCAGCCAUGCCGCGUGCAGGAUGAAGGCCUUCGGGUUGUAAACUGCUUUUGUACGGAACGAAAAGGUCCUUUCUAAUAAAGAGGGCUCAUGACGGUACCGUAAGAAUAAGCACCGGCUAACUACGUGCCA